GAUUCUAGGGAAGAAAAUGAGAAAGAAAAAGAGGAAAAGGAGGGGGAAUCUGAGAAAGGACCAAAUAUGGCAAAAGUAAAAUCCUGGUUUUACCAGCCUCUUCCUCCCGGAUUUCCUGAAAGAUCUUUUUCUAAUAUAUUUUCAGAAUCAAAAAGGCCAUUCAACAGAUUUCCUGUAUCGCAUCCAGCCAAAGGUGGCUACUCCUAUUUUUACCAAUAUUAAAAAACUUUUAUCCUCUUAUACACUGUAAAAAAUUACAGAUCUAACUACGGUUUAAAAUAGUAUCUUUGGAGCAUCAUCCGUAAAAUCUAUUUAACCGUAAAAUCCAUUUAAUAUUUUACCGUAAUUUUUACAAUAAUAUUUUUGAAUUGGAGUGAUUUAUUGGUUUUACGGUAGUCAUUACUGUUAAAAUUACGGUAUAACAGAUUUUUCUUUUGUUUAGUGACAUGUUCCGGUAAAAGGGAUUUUUCGGUAAAAAGUACUGACAUCCUGAAUGCAGGCACUUUUAAUCGUAAUUUGAUCCGUAAUUGUUUGCCUAAAUUUAUAAGGUUUCUCGUUACACCUAAUAAUAUUCUAAUGUAGGAAUUCUUCAAUUUUUUUAAAGAAAGGUAAGGGAGUGCACUUUUGAAAUGAAUCUUUAUUGCUAAAAGUGUAACAUCCUUAUUUAAACAUGAAUUGUUUAAAGAUUACUGGUCACCUUGUAAAUAAUUUUGUAGCAAUUUUAAAUAGUUGAUUUGUCCUUCUUAACUUUUAUUAUUAAUCAUCAAUUUUUUGUUGUUUUUAAUGACUGCAAACAUUUGAUUUAAUAUCUUUAUUGUGCUAUUUACCCAUCAUUGACUAAUUCAUAUGCCAAUAGCUUUUAAUGUCUUUUUGUGUUGAUAAUAUUUAUUUUUGAAUCUCAAGCAUUUUGAUUCCGAUAUGAUUUUUAAAAUUUUAAAAUAAUGUAAAUUGUUUUUUGAAUUUCUUUAAAAUGUAAACUAGUGAAAUUUAUAUGUUUAUUGUGUCUAGGUUCAUUUGAUCUGUGAUUUAAAUAUAUUAAAUUCUAAUUCAAGCAGUUUUGCUAAUCUGCGCUGAAUUUUCAGAUCAAAAAAUUAAAACAUUUGAAUUAACAAAAUUCAUGCCAAUAAUUAAUUUGAUGUAUUUAUUAGCAUUGUUGUAUUGUUCUAAGUAUGUAUUCGUGUGUAUAGUAGGUUAUUUAUUAAAAACCAGUCAUUUUUUAA